rnacentral:rRNA from 1 species
CACGUAGUUAGCCGAUGCUUCCUCUGCUGGUACCGUCAUUGUUUCGUUCCAGCUGACAGAGCUUUACACCCCAAAGGGCUUCUUCGCUCACGCGGUGUCGCUACGUCAGGGUUUCCCCCAUUGCGUAAAAUUCCCCACUGCUGCCUCCCGUAGGAGUAUGGGCCGUGUCUCAGUCCCAUUGUGGCUGAUCAUCCUCUCAGACCAGCUACCGAUCGUCGCCUUGGUAGGCUCUUACUCUACCAACUAGCUAAUCGGACGCGGGCUCAUCUUUAGACGGAUUACUCCUUUCACCUUGCGGCAUAUGCGGUAUUAGCGGACCUUUCGGCCCGUUAUCCCCCAUCUAAAGGCAGAUUCCCACGCGUUACUCACCCGUCCGCCACUAGGUAUUGCUACCUCGUUCGACUUGCAUGUGUGAAGCACACCGCCAGCGUUCGUCCUGAGCCAGGAUCAAACUACU